rnacentral:lncRNA from 1 species
AAUCUGAGAUGUGUCAUCUCGGUGCUGAGGAAUGUGCAUUGGAGGCAGUGCUGGAGGUGACACUGUUGCUCAAGUAUGGCUGGUUAUGGUUAUGAAGCAGGCUGCGCCUGCUUCAUCCGUGGACAGAUGCUCACUCUGCCUGCCCCAACUCUUCUUGCUGCCACAGUUCUCCCUUUGGCUCUGCCAGCAGAAGAUGUCACUGUUCUCAAACCUGCACCCUUCCGAAAACAAGAGGGACACAGACUCACUCACACGUAAAUAAAAAACAGAGGGAAGCUUUUAAAAGACUCAGAUGCUUGGUAUUCCGAGCAACAGCUAAUGCAAUGCCUUGUUAAGACAUCUCGUUGA